ensembl:lncRNA
UGGGAAGUUAAGUGUGUGUGUGUGUGUGCAUGUGCGUGCACACAGGUGCAUGUGCGCACAUACGUGCAUGUGUGCACGGCAGGGUUUGUGUGUACAUAGAACUGUUGACUUAUCUAGGAGUGUUUGUGGGUGGAUAUAUAUUCAGACCUAAUGAAAGGCAGUCAGCUAACAGCCAAGGCAGGAAGAACAAAUUGGCAACUCUCCAAACCCAGCCUUAGUUAACAUUCACCUCCUAUGCAGCCAAUUAGUGAACGAAGUUUACCUCCUCUGCUUCCUGUUCUCCUGCUCUCGGGUUUUCAUUCACCCCCCUCCGGCCCCGCCCCUCUCCUCAUCCUCCCCGCCUCCUUUGCACAUUUGUUAAAGGUUUACUAUCUUGCAGUCCCCAUGGACACCAGGCUAACAAAAAUGAGUGUGACUACACCCUGUACACAACUUCACAGCUGCCUGCUCACAUUCCUCAGGGAUGGAGAGAUGCCCAUGCUGAAGCUGGUUGGGAAGGUAACACAUUCCUUCUCAUGAAAUGGACACUAUUGUUUCAACUCUCAUUGCCACAUGAUAGACACAGUAUGUGUGCAGCCUUAUUCUUGGAAAAUACAAGAAAUAUGACUGUAUCAAAGCCAGAUUAUCAUCAAGAAUUGUGAGAAAGAUGAGAAGUGGAAUUUGUGUCAAGAGGGAGGAAUGAGAUGAGCUCCACACCGUGGAUUUCAACUCUCAAGUCCGUGUGUGACUGGGAGCGGUGCAUGUUUCCCAGAUACUAAAGCGCCAUUACCUUGACCGUGGACAUGAAGCGAUCAGAGUCGUAUUUAUUGAUGAAACUCUCAGCUUCCAACCUGCCGCACUGAGUGUGCAUCAUACAGCUGUCAGCAGCGCCGGGGCACCACGCUGAUGGGUGCUUGUGACAUUUCCCUUUCAUAAUUGAUGAAAACGAAAGAUCUGGAAAUUUGUAGGACGCCAGAGCAAUUUUAAAAUUGUCUCCAUGAAGGCUAUAUCGCAGUGUGUGAAAUAAGUGCUUUUCUGGCUUAUGAUUUUUAGGAGACUCAGUCGCAGACAGACCAAAUGAGAAGCAUAAACACAGCCGUAUCUAAAGGAGUCUAAUCCGGGCAUAAGGGUUACAAGGACGACCUGCUAUUUGGGGAAGUGGCUAAUUGCCAUCACACCAGAGCAUAAUCCUCUUCGUGGUGGGUGAUGGCUUCACCUCUCCCUGAAGUUUCAGACCAUCAAAAGCCGCUUAAUUGUUUUACAUCUUCAAAGAAAUAUUUGUCAUAUAUGACAUUGUUUGGUAGCUAAAAGAUGCAAAUUUAAAACUAAACACAUUAAGGAAGGAGCAAAAGGAUCUGUGUCUGCUGUGCCAACUAUCAUAUUAGAUUUGAUUGAACUAGAAAAUCAGUAAUGACCUUGGACUGUAAUUUGGAGUGGGAAAGGGAUCUUCCUCAUAAGAAAUUACCCCUGCAUGAAGAGUAUCAAAUUGCACAACACUGCGGGAUUUUUUUUUUUUUUUUACACAUAGUGGAAGCAGGAAAACCUGCUUUGUGACAGGUGAACACACACACUUUCACAGAUUGACUUUGCACUCAAGUUGUUCACGGACAGAUCUUACAAGACAAGGACAGAUCUUACGGGAACUCUAACAACAACUUGUUUUGGUUCAUGGUGGUUAGGUGCCAGAGGAAGGAAAUGCAAGCUAGAGAGAAAGAGACCAAAUGUAACUACCAAUUAGACAUAAAUGGUUUUCAUGUCCUCAGUCCAUUCUGCCUAGAAUACCUGUGACUUCCCCAGGAAACAGAAGGUGGAAUACGGCUGCACCAGGACAAAACCACAUCCAAUAGGAACGUGCUGCCAUGUUUGUACAUGCAAUCAUUUCAUUAUGAAGAUUAAUUGUAUCUUACUUAGUGUCUCCUUGUAUCACCUAUUCCAAACAGGAAAUCAUUUAUGUUUCCAUUUUAUUCACAAGGAAGCCUAGGUAGAAAUGCCUUGAGCACCUCUAAAAUGAAUUAUGCAAACAUAUGAGAACUCCUACAAAUGAUUUUAAAAUAACUAAGGCCAUGUGUAUUUAUGCAAAGCCAGGAUUAUCUCAUCCAGGAAGGGUCUCCAGCCUUAUCCAAGGGGAGAGUUGGGGGAAAGUGGUUUUGCCUUCUGAGUAUGGAAGGUGGGCACACACUGGCAGCAGGGUCUCAAGCUGGUGGAAGUUAGGUCUUUUUGACAUCUGUCUGAGAAAACCCUCACAACCCUUCCAGGUUGCAAGACCAUAAAAAAUGCCCAGAACCAACUCUCCUCUGUCAGGCUGCCACCCCAUUGGCCCCCACAUUCAGAGCCAAGGCCAGUUUUCAUCUCCUCUACCAACCCCUCCUGGAUGAAGGCCCAGUGAUGGAGAAGUGACUUUUGGAUCUGAGAGUGAACCCUGGUCCUCACUCCUGAGACACCACUCCAUUGGGGUCCCCAGGAUCUAUAUGACCCCACCCUCUAGCUGCUGCCAGGGUUUAUGGGGGAAGUACCUGCUGUACAUAAAACAGAGAGAGGAUGACUGACCUGGAGGUCAUGUGCCCCUGGAGUUGAUUCCCCCACCCCCAGUCUCACAGAGAGGGUAUGAGGACUGGCUGUCAAAAGGGUUGUGGAGCCCAGAGCCUAGUGGCUGGCACACAGAAAGCUCAUCAUGAAUGACAGCACCUAGCUUGCUUUGGGUGAUGUGCUUAACAUACGAGAUAUAAGCGCCCCUGUAAGUGGAGCCAUGCAUGUGUGUGUGUCUGUGUAUAUGCAAGCAUACCUGUGCGUGUGUCUGUGUAUAUGCAGGCAUACCCGUGCGUGUGUUUGAGUGCAUGGGCAUGGACAUUUUUUUCUGGCUCCAAAGUAUGUGUGCCUAGUAUCCAAAGAAUGAAAAGAGAUUAACUGGUUUUAAAAAGCAGAAGGGGGCAGGGAGGGAGGAAGGGAGGGAGAAAGAGAGGGGAAGGAGGAAGACAGAAGGAAGGGAGGAAGAAAGAGAAGAGAAAGAAAAGAGAAAAAAGGCUAAGGGGCUUAGCAGCUGACCCUCCCAGAAGCGGGCAGCCAUUCAGCCCUUCCCCUUCGAGCCCCCACGCUGUGGCAUCAAUCCUGAUAGGUGGGUAAGAGCCCAUCCAGUACGUGCUGUCAGUUAAGUUCCCGGCCCCUCCUCCCUAUUGGUAUCGCACAGGCAGGAAGGCAGAGGAGCAGUGUUGCACGGGGCUGAGAUGAAGCCUGUCAAACAGCAUCAGAGCUGAAAAUUACAGCUGAUUAAAGGAAUAAAAACCCUCCAGGAUCACUUGGUAUUCUCGAA